GGCAGCCCCUCCUCUGGCCGUGCUGCAGCCCCCGGCUUCCAUCUCAGCCCCCAGUAGCCCCCAGCAGCCUCACCUACCAGCAGGGAGAUCACGGGCUGGCAGCCCAGAGCGGGCAGUGUGAGGGACGGGAGGAGAGCAGCCCCGGGAGGGAUCAGGGGCCGGUAGAUGUAGAUGAUGAAGAAGAGGAUAUAGAGAUAGUUGUUGUAUAGAUAGUUAGAGGGUAUGAUGAUAGUUGAUAGCGAUGUAGAUUAGUUGAUAGCGACGUAGAUUAGUUGAUAGUGACGUAGAUAGUGAGAUAGACAGCUGAUGGUGGUAUACAGGUAGUAAACAGAUAGCAGAGAGCAAGAUGGGUUAUUGGUAGAGAGGUGGUUUGUGAAUAGCAAGGUAGUUAGCAGCAAGCAAGAGUUAGUAGCAAUGUAGUUAGAUCAUAGCCAGAUAGCUGAUAGGGGGAUGCAGGAUAGAAAGAUGGGUGACUGGGAGAUAGUUAAUUUAUAGCCUGUGAUAUAAGAAGUUGCUAAAAAGAACUUAAUCUCUGUUUCAGAUGAGCCAUUGCGUCCUGGGACACCUCUCUCCCCGCCAGCAUGGGGUGAAGAGCAACACCUGAUGCUGCCCCAGCGCUGGCAGAAGAACAGCAGCUCUGCAGAGACCCGUCCUGCCAGCAGAGCAUCACGGAGAAGAAGACGCGCCUUCUGCUCACAGGAAGAUGAGCCACGGAGACCUGGGACACCACUCUCCCCUCCAGCAUGUGAUGAGGACCAACGCCUGAUGCUGCUUCAGCGCCGGCAGAAGAACAGCAGCUCUGGGAACACCCGUCCUGCCAGCAGAGCAUCACAGGGAAGAGGACGCACCUUCUGCUCAGAGCUAGGUAUGGCUGUGUGUGUGCGCAUGGCCCAGCUCCCAGCACCUCCUCCUGGCUGGGAGGGGCGUUCCCAUGAGGUGAGCCUGGGGCAGCGGAGGAGGUGAGGAUGGCCAGAGACGUUCUGCAUCUUCAUCACUGAGGGCACAUCUCGGGUGGAAACACCGGCGGGGCUCUGACAGUCUCUGAAUGCUUUGCCCUGAAUUGGAGGUUGAAACCAAAUCACAGAUGUUUUUCUAUACAGUUACUCUUCUCCUGUAAGCCGAGCUUUGACAGAGUUGAUGUCCAAAACAGCCGAGGAAGAACUGGACUGAAGAGGAGAGCGCCAGCUGACAGCGCCCGUCUGGUGUGAUGUGCCCAGAGAGAGACUCGUCCAGCAAGAGAUAGAGUAGAUAGGGAGCAUAGGGACCCAGUUAGCUCUAAAAUGUCUUAGUAGUGCAGUUGUAAGAAAGCUCUGUAAAUAAAUUGUAUGCCAUUGUUUUCAUAUCCUUACACUGUGUCCAAAACUGUGUUUGUUCGUAGCCCGAUAUGCCUAGAAAUAAAUGACAGAACAAUAAAUCUUUUCCUCUGAUCUUCUGUGGCGGUGGUGGUUUUGUUUGUUUCGUGGUGGAAUCCUAAAAUGAUUUUAUAGUUCCUCUCACAGAGGAAGCAGCAGCAGCUGUUCUAACAUCGGGUUAGCAGUUUUUUAUACCAAGCAAGCUCUAGAUUCUUAGCCACAGGGAGCAGAAGGCAGGAUAACGCCUGCAUGCAGCACGCACUGAGCACGUUCUUAAUGCCAGCCUCUGAGGGAAAGGUCGGAGUGCGGAGAGCACUGCCCAAAGGAGCAAGAGCACUGCCCACGCACCCCUGACCCCACGUUCACCACCCCGAGGCCUCCCUGCGGGCGCUGCACAGAGCCUCAGGCGCUGGGGCUGAAGGUGUGAGGGGAGAAUAAAUCUGGGUUUGAAUUUUAGGAGGAGAACAAAUUCAAACUUCCAGAAAGGCAAGGCAGGAUGGGAUUUGUUACUGCAAAGUAAAUAAGGAAGGGACGCAGCUGAGCAGAUACUUUACCCUUGUAAUCUCCCCUUGGCACGGGUGGACAUCAGCUCAUGGUGUUUCAUUGCGGUGAUGCACUGUAGAAGCAACAUCUCCAGCCUGGCGUGUCCUCUGCAGACAUCUGCUCUACGGUCGCUGUGGCUCUCUUAUGUCAUCCCUGUCAUUACAAACCCCUCCUAACGAGUUGCAUUUCUGUAUUUUCUAAGUAAUGAGUCUGAAGUCCACUUGAAAACUUUCACUGGAACAUUUUUAAUCAGGUCAGAAAUGUCUGUUUAUAAGCCUUUCAAGUGUGGAGAUGUAAGGUCAUCUAUGCGUAACACACAUCAUUUUUGGCAAGAAAACUCCACAGACACAGAUAAAUUCCCAAACAUGCCCCUACAAGAUGCUGGCACCGUGCACAAGUAUCUUUCAGAAAGCAGUAACAUCAGCAUCCUGGCUGAAAUCUUUUGGGGCUGUGAGUACCCCCUCUCCUUGCAUGGGCUCCAAUGAAGAGCAUCAUUUCAGUCCUGCAGAGAGUGUUUGUAUUCGAUCUGUUCCCUUCCUUUUACAUCUCAUGGGAAUGGGAUGAGGCACUGAUGGAGACGCAGUUGGACUCUUAGGUUCCCCAGUCAGAGUCUUCAGAAACAUGUACCAACUUACAGCCAAGCUCUUAGCCAGCUGGCUGCCUCUGCCAAACUUAGUCAUAUCUGGACUUUGGCCCAGAACGAACUGCAUAAUCUAAUUCUUAGAGGGACUGCUUGAAAAAAGUUGGGUGUAAAUGUUGGAAACAAUGUUAUCUCGCUAUUUUUUUCUGUACGCAGAAGGUGAUUCAAUGCUACAAAUGCUUAAAUGUGCUCCUCCCAGAUUACCAACAAUCUGAUAUUUGCUACGCAUUAAAUACCUUUUGCCACAGGAAGAAAACAGCUGUGAUUUCCAAGUCCUCUUUAUGCCUGCAAGGUGUGAGAGCUCCUUGCCAUUCAUGUUUGGCUUCUCAAUACUUGGUAUCUAAAGCACCCAGGUCAUUGUAUGUUGUGUCAUCAACUUCUGAGGAGCAGACACAAGACAUCAUGCUCGGGCAACAUAGAAGCAUUGACCUGGGGGCGCUGGGGCUUUUUUUAGGUCAGUAAAGUGUGCUACACCUUGUAAACGUGCAGCACUCUGCAAAGCCAUCCCAGCACCGGAGCAAGCCCACACUGCAGCAGGGCCAAGGCAGGAGUGCCUGCAGCCAGCCAAGCGUGGCCCUGGGCGUUGGUGUGUAUCACAUGGCUGCCUGCAGCUAUCUCUUGGGUGGAGCACACUUACCUGCCGUCAUCCACCUCCUCUUUGCUGUGCUCAGGUUGGCUGGGUAAAUCUGCAGCGCUCAGAGCGGGAUGGCUGCAAGAAAUAAGGGCCACCAAGCAAGCACCACCUGCUGAACCACACAAGCGCAGAGGACCUGAACAGGGGCAUCUCAAGAGCAGGAGCAUAAAAAGGCACAAAAACUUCCUCCAACCAUGCUUGGCUGUGCUAGCAGCUUGAGGUGCUACCCAGGGCAGCAGAGUUUUUGUUGGCUUUGAAUGAAGCCCACACAAGGGUCAGUGGUGUCACGGAUGUGCAUGAGGCUAUGGCACUCUCCUGUUGGUGACUGCUUCAAACAAAACUUGUAAGCUCUCCUUCACAUGCAGUGUUGAAGCUCACUUUUGAGUAUUCUUUCACAAGUAACAACAUCUCCAGACCUUGAAUGGAAGAGCUUGUACCUCCUCCCAAGCAUGGCUCAGCCUGAGCUUCAUCUGUUGCUCAGUCAGAGCAGCACUGACUUGAACACAAGGUGCCCUCACUCCAAAUGGAAGAGGCUCUUCCCCACAGUCUCUUUGGAUUUGGUGUUUGAAAACCACCCACUUCAGCUCUUUGUCUGCUCGGGUGCUUCCAGGAAAGAUCCGAUUCACUCUUAUCAUAGAAUCAUGGAAUGGCUUAGGUUGGAAGAGACCUAGAGAUGACCCAGUUCCAACCCCCCUGCCACGGUCUGGUUGCCCCCCACUCACGGCAGAAUCCAAGCAGGGGCAGCAGACCUCCCUCCACGGAUUCCACGGAUGACAAGUUCAGAAGUUACUUGGAAAACAAGGUUGUCAGCCUGAGGCAUGGUUUGCUGGCUCCCAGCAACAGUCUGGAAACGCAGCCCGAGCAGCAGAGCCUGCUUCAGGUUACAUAAACAGAAAUGCCUCCGCACCGGGACGCUGCUCGCUGGGAGGCACAGUGCUGCGCUAUUUGCAGCACCUUUCCUGCUCUGACUUGGCAGGAACCCCUCUCCUGGUUAUUUUCCACCCAGGGGUUUUAUAAACAGACUCGUCAGUGUCCUGCGCUCGUGCUGGCAAGCCAACGGGACGGCGACCUACGGCCCAGGGGGGUCAGACCUGCGUACUGACUUGGUUGUGCUUUAUAGAACAGCCUGCAAACGAGUCCUCCUCCCGUGACAUGUUAAGGAUAUGGCCAUACGCUGCUCUGAGAUGCUGCCCUAACGCUCGGAUGCUACUUUGUGGGCAGACUUAAAGCAAACACAGCACAUUAUAGCAAAUAUUACAGCAAACAAGUUUGCACAGACAGUCAAGAAUUUGACUGCAAGUUUUCUCAGGAGGAAAAUUCUGAUUCGGCAGGCUACUGCAUGCCACGGUUCCCAAUUAACACUCAGCAGUCCUCUGUGCUAUUGGGCAGCUUGAGGUUAGCUUUGGCAAAAACAAAGCAAGCUGAAACUGAAGGGGGGGGUGAAAGCUGUCAGACUGCAUCUGUCCCUUAGUGCAUAGGGUAUAUGCAUAUCUUAUGCAUAUAUCUUACCUGUUUUAAUGUGCAUCACCUUGUUUUGUGAUACAAACCAGAUACCUGCAUGCAGCAGAUAGCAGCCGAGACAGCAUGGAGCCGAAUAGCUCCAGGCCCUGCUUUUCUCACCCUGACAACCAACCUGCAAAGAGUAAGAGGGCAUGAACAGUCCCAGUACAGGUACACCUUUGCUGAAAGAUUGACUGCUGCCAGCAUUCAUUACACACAGCCAUGGAGCACGUGGCAGAGCUCCAGCAGAUGCAAUGAACGUGGACACCUAUAUCCUCAGGGGGUGUGUGAGAAGCAUCUGCAGAACAAGCACCGUGUCGGAGGCACACACUAUCGUUGCUGUGUUUGCUUCCUUGUUUCUGAGGCGGCUGGGAAAAGGAGCAGACUGUGUUUCAGAGGGUUUUCCUUUCCUGCAGCACUGGAGCUGCUGACCUUGGCAGCGGUGACCUGCCACCAGCCUGCUCCCUGGGUUGUGCCAGGCACGGCUGACUCCUGGUGCUCCGCCUGCAGCGGUGUCUGAAGGGUGUUAGAUAAACCCAUGGGAGAGUUUAAAAUAAAAACAAAAAGGUUAAUUAAUGAGUAAUCCCUAAGCAAAACAGAGGGAAACUACAUCAGGCUAUUCAUUUCUGCCAUGGUCUGAAUGUGCCACUUAUUCCCUCUUCUUUACAGUCAGUGGAAAGAAGUGCAACACCGGAGCAAGCGAUGUGCCAAAAAUGGGUUUAGUACAGUAAUACUGAUGUUAUCUUAUGUGCUGCCUGUUGUGCAGUGUGGCUGCAAGGAAAGAUACGGUUAUUUCUCAGUCAAAGGUUAUGGAAACUCUCAGCUGUCCGCAAUAGAGAAGCAGCACUUGACUGCAGCCCCAUGCGCAGCACAAAAAUAGCCGUGCAGGCACUCCAGCAAUGCGCAGAGCUGGGGGCAGGCUGGGCGGUGCUGCAGCUGCACGAGGGGGAACUCCUGCUGGAUAAAGUUCAGCCUCUCAGACCCCGGGAGUGGGGACCCUAAUGGCUGCAAAAUGCCUUUCGUUUGGAAUAUAAAACAAAAGCAUUGCGCCACCUGGCUUGGUCGGAUGCUGCACAGUCCUGCAUUUGCCCAAUUCCCUGCAGAUCUGACCCAAACAAAGGACUCAGCAGCUGAAACCAAGGAACUCAACUGCAAGGCAGCUAGAGCAGCUGGAAAACCCUCCUUGGGUUUACCCAUCGUUAAACAAGUGUCAGCCAGGGAAAAGGAGCCCAGGCUCACAACAGCAUAGCAGAAGGUUGUCUGGUGGAAACAACAGAGCUCCAUCCAAAGGAUGGCCCUGCUUGCUCAGCUUAAUCGGAAAACAAGCUCGGACAAAACUCCCAGGUGGAAUAAGCACUUCUGAGUGCUUAUCUUGAUUCUUCUGUUCCGUAUGCCCGCACCUGACCGCGCCUGCCUAACAGACUGCACCUCCCCGGGCCUCCAAGCUCAGGCAGAACCUCAUCACUCUGAGCAGUGCUCUGAAUGCACAGACCUGAGCGAACCCCCAGGUUUCCAGCAACACCCUCCAUUAACCCCGCUGUAGCUGCUCAGUGCCAUAAUGCGCGUUGCUUCCAGGAACUCUUAAUCCCUGUGCAAAGCCAGCAGCCCGCAGCACAGCAGCUCUGGGACAGGCAGGGACAGGCCCAGCAGAGGCAGGGGUGGGAGCGGUGAGCCCAGCAGGCACCUUCCCACUGGGGGGAGCUGCGUGGGAAGAGAGACACGAGUGGGCAGAAACCACCAAAGGAGAGCUCUGCCCCAUCUGUGGGUGCCCAAGGCCAUGAUAUGGGGCCCUGGGCAGCCUGAUCUGGGGGGGGUGGGGGGGGGGGGAGACAAGCCCACGGCUGGGGCUGGGGCUUUGAGGUCUCUUCCAGCCCAACCACGCUGUGUUUCUAUGAUUGAUUGUAUGAUCUUUUCUUCUGCCAGAGGAGCAGCUGGAGGGCCUGGCUCAUUUACCAAGCUGCUUCCUGCUGUCCGGGGGGCACUUGGAGCCUGGUUGUACAUCAGGCAAUGAAGAAUCCCUGCACGUUGUGGUUUUGCUGGUUUUUCUUCAUUUUUUAAAACCAAAGAGAGAACUUGUAGGAUGGCUGCUCCCAAACAGCGUCAGCCCAUGGCUGCUGCUCCGAGCUGGAAGCACCAAAAUCGGAUUUACCUACACUGGGUUUGAGCUCUAUCAUCCAUGCCAUGCCAGGGAUGCACGCCCUGCUCCAGAGCAGCACUGGUGAUGUGGUGUCUGUGUGCACCACGCCAUCCCCCUUCAUGCCAUGGGCAGCAAAGCCUCCUAAUGCAGGAAAGGCUGUGGUUACAUGGAGUCAAUUCAGAUGCUGAAAAAUAAAGCCAGUGAAAUAUUACUAGUCCAGGUGGAAUCACAGGGAGUUAAGGAGGGUUAUGUAAAGCACCAGGGCACCUCCAUAAGCUGUCCUGUGCUCCAGGGGAUGCACACAGAGCCGGACCUUCCAUUAGCUGUUCCCCAAAGGAAGAGAAGCUCAUCUUGUAGCUCUAGGGCAACACUGGAGCUUCCUCCACCCCUGCUCACCCCCAGCUCCGGGCACCAAAUGGGCUUCUGUAUGGCCGAACGCUUCCUGUAGCCACAGCCCAGGGCUAUGCAGUGGGUUCGGUCCCAGCCCUGGGUGUGCCGCUGUGCACGCACCUCAAGGAAGCGAUACUGACACCAACACCACACCGACCUCAGCCGUGCAAUUUCCUCAUUGCAGGAAACAUCAUCAUGCAGAGAUUAGCAUGUAAUGCUCCGUGCUUAUAAAAUAACCCCUUUCUUUUCAUGUGACGACUCCUGUCAGUGAUUAACAUUUAAGAAGCUGCACUUUGUUAACAAAGGGCUCAAAGCACCAGAUGAUAAGCAGUACGGUUACGGCGCUCGUGGUACUGUGAUCUGAGCCCCACCUCCUGCACAGCACACGGGGAUGGUGGGCGCCCGCUGGAGAGAGCCCGGCACAGAGUGAAAAGCCUGCGAAGGUAAAGCGAAAUCUCACGUGGCAUUUAAGCACAAGCUAAAGAAUUUCCUCAUUCAGAUCCCUAUGUCAGCUCUCAGGGGAAAUCACAGCAGCGACCCCAAAACUCUGCCCGUCGCUCUGCACAGCGCACGCACGGAGGGAGGGAUCCGAGCCACCCCGGGCACACCGCUGCUCCCAGCCUCCAACCUGGGCCGUGCGGACGGCAUGGGAGGUGACCGACCCCAAAUCCUCCACGCACACUCACUGACCUCAUCCCUCAGAUACACAGGCUGAUGGAAUUACACGGCGAGCCCCGAAAACCCACCAUCCCCCGUGGCACGAGGCACCGUGCAGCCCCGGACGUCCCCGCGGGGACAGCGCGGGGCCGCUGCCACCAACCCGAGCCGUGCACGGAGCUCCGGUGGGGCACCCGCUGCCUCCACGCGGGGCCGGGCCGCGGGACAGAGCGGGGGAGGCAGCGCCGGGACAGCCGGGGCUCCGAGCUAAGCUCGCUGCCGACACAACGCGCUCUCCUUCCGCUCCCCCCUCCCGCCGCUCCGGCCGCUUCCAGCCCAAGGUCUGCAAAAUGGCUCCGGCGCUCCCCCUGGCCCCGCACUCCCGGGCUAUUUGCGGGAUCUGCUUCGUGCGAUGGGCGCUGCCCGCUCCGCGCACCUCUCUGCAGCGAG
ensembl:lncRNA